rnacentral:piRNA from 1 species
AGUAUGAAUUUGAGCAGGUGAGGACCUG